ACGCUCGACACCUACGGGAGGCAGCAGUGGGGAAUAUUGCACAAUGGGGGAAACCCUGAUGCAGCGACGCCGCGUGGAGGAAGAAGGUCUUCGGAUUGUAAACUCCUGUUGUUGGGAAAAGAGGAUGGUACCCAACAAGGAAGUGACGGCUAACUACGUGCCAGCAGCCACGGUAAUCUGAGCGGGCUGGCAAGGC
rnacentral:rRNA from 1 species